GCACGCAGGCGGCGCGCAAGUUUGGGGUGACAGUCUCCGGCUUAACUGGACAAGGACCUUGAAGACUGGGGGGCUUGAGGACUGGAGAGGGACACGGAAUUCCGGGUGGAGUGGUGAAAUGCGUAGAUAUCCGGAGGAACACCGAAGGCGAAGGCAGUGUCCUGGCCAGGUCCUGACGCUCAGGUGCGAAAGCCAGGGGAGCGAACGGGAUUAGAUACCCCGGUAGUCCUGGCCGUAAACGAUGACCACUAGGCGUGGGAGGUAUCGACCCCUUCCGUGCCGCAGCUAACGCGCUAAGUGGUCCGCCUGGGGAGUACGGUCGCAAGAUUAAAACUCAAAGGAAUUGACGGGGACCCGCACAAGCAGCGGAGCGUGUGGUUUAAUUCGAUGCAACGCGAAGCACCUUACCAGGGCUUGACAUGCCCUCGCACCGCCCGGAGAGGGGCGUCCCCGCAAGGGGCGACCGCACAUGCGCUGCAUGGCUGUCCUCCUCUCGUGUCGUGAUAUGUUGGGUUAAGUCCCGCCACGAGCGCCACCCCUGCCCUCUGUU
rnacentral:rRNA from 1 species